rnacentral:rRNA from 1 species
AUUGAACGCUGGCGGCAGGCCUAACACAUGCAAGUCGAGCGGAGCGGCGGACGGGUGAGUAAUGCCUAGGAAUCUGCCUGGUAGCGGGGGAUAACGUCCGGAAACGGGCGCUAAUACCGCAUACUAUCAGAUGAGCCUAGGUCGGAGUAGCUAGUUGGUGGGGUAAAGGCCUACCAAGGCGGCGAACCGUAACUGGUCCGAGAGGGGGAUCAGUCACACGGGAACUGGGACACGGUCAUGACUCCUACGUGAGGCAGCAGUGGGGAAUAUUGGGCAGUGGGCGAAAGCCUGGUCCAGCCAUGCCGAGUGUGUGAAGAAGGUCUUCGGAUUGUAAUGCACGUUAAGUUGGGGUGCGUUACCAACAGAAUAAGCACCGGCUAACUUCGUGCCAGCAGCCGCGGUAAUUC